UAGGGAAUCUUCCACAAUGGGCGAAAGCCUGAUGGAGCAACGCCGCGUGUGUGAUGAAGGGUUUCGGCUCGUAAAACACUGUUGUAAGAGAAGAAUGACAUUGAGAGUAACUGUUCAAUGUGUGACGGUAUCUUACCAGAAAGGAACGGCUAACUACGUGCUAG
rnacentral:rRNA from 1 species